rnacentral:lncRNA from 1 species
AAAAUAUAAGGACCAUAGUGUAAAUUUCAAAUAAUUUUACAGUUAAAUUUAAAGUUUUGCUUUUGGAUAAGAAUACUUUGAAACUUCAAAUAUAAAUUCAAAAUGAAGUAAAAGUGAACAGAGCCGGUCCUAGAAUUUAAAAGACUAGAAGCAAAAAAGAAAAAUGUGGCCACUUUUUAAAGAAAAAAAAAUAAAGAUUAAAAAAAAGGUGAAAUAGUUGCAUUUGGCCAUCGAACCCAUGUUCUGUUGAUUGUAUAGACUUAUAGGUUUACCACUGAACUACAGAGAAUAUUUGAAAAAUGUGGCCGAAACUAAUACUAAAAUAAUCGGCCGCAAGCGGGAGUUUUAUCCGCUUCUACCAACGGCCGGCACUGAAAGUGAAUAUGGAGUAAAAAUGUUCAAACCCUAAUUCAUUUUUCACUCUAUAAUAGAAUUAUGAAUAAAUAAAAACUAGGUACUCCAUUUACAGAGUAAAGUC